rnacentral:lncRNA from 1 species
AUUCUUUCUAUUUUCCAUGUAUUUAUCUACUUAUUGGGGGUGGGGGGUCUGUACCCUGGCACACAUGUGGAGAUAAAAGACUCCUUCCACCAUGGGGUGGUCAGGCUUGGUGGCAGGCACCUUUACUCACUCUCCAUCUCGGGGGUCAGUGUUGUUUUGAGGUGUUCUUGAAGAAAGAAUUGGAAUCCAGGCUAAAUAAUGUUAUGUGGCUACCAGUACCACAGGUCCGGUCUGCCUGUCUCUGGCAUUUUUCUUUAAUGUUACAGAUACAUGAAAUUCUCUUUGCUUUCUGUUUUAUUAUAGUAAUCACUCAUGAGCCAAGUGCCUCGGAAGCUCUCAGAUUGCAUAUUAG